UACGAAGGGGGCUAGCGUUGCUCGGAAUCACUGGGCGUAAAGCGCACGUAGGCGGGUUGUUAAGUCGGGGGUGAAAUCCUGGAGCUCAACUCCAGAACUGCCUUCGAUGCUGGCGACCUUGAGUCCGGGAGAGGUGAGUGGAACUCCGAGUGUAGAGGUGAAAUUCGUAGAUAUUCGGAAGAACACCAGUGGCGAAGGCGGCUCACUGGCCCGGUACUGACGCUGAGGUGCGAAAGCGUGGGGAGCAAACAGG
rnacentral:rRNA from 1 species